rnacentral:rRNA from 1 species
AACGAACGCUGGCGGCAGGCUUAACACAUGCAAGUCGAGCGCCCCGCAAGAGGAGCGGCAGACGGGUGAGUAACGCGUGGGAACGUACCUUUUGGUUCGGAACAACUCCGGGAAACUGGAGCUAAUACCGGAUAAGCCCUAACGGGAAAGAUUUAUCGCCGAAAGAUCGGCCCGCGUCUGAUUAGCUAGUUGGUGAGGUAACGGCUCACCAAGGCGACGAUCAGUAGCUGGUCUGAGAGGAUGAUCAGCCACACUGGGACUGAGACACGGCCCAGACUCCUACGGGAGGCAGCAGUGGGGAAUAUUGGACAAUGGGCGCAAGCCUGAUCCAGCCAUGCCGCGUGAGUGAUGAAGGCCUUAGGGUUGUAAAGCUCUUUUGUCCGGGAAGAUAAUGACUGUACCGGAAGAAUAAGCCCCGGCUAACUUCGUG